UUGUAACUCGGCCAAUGGCCUCGACUCUAAAACCUUCUUCUUAUUCAAUGAAAAUACCAAGUCUUUUGCCUUGUUUCAUUUUUUUUUUUUUUUUUUUGCAAAAUCUGUGACAAUGUUACUUGUAGACUAAGAUAAAGAGCCACCCUCAUGCAGCUUCCUUUUGGUGCCCGCCUUUUGCCCCACACUGCCAUGGAAGAGAUAAAAGAGGAAUUUCCCCAUACAUUCUUUUCGGCGCAUGUUUACCAAGCAAACUCUCCCUUUCUGGAAAAAAAGACCCCUUCUCACAAAGUCACGAGUCAUCUGUGACUCGGAAAUGAAUCUAGCGAUCUCAAAGCGCUUCCACAACUUUGCUUUAACGCUUUUCUAUCCGAAAGCCCAAAUUGUAAAGAAAAACAAUACGGCACCAUGGCACCACCAUACGCACUACUACGCGACAACGCUAUCCAACAGGAACACCGAAUGUUUUCAUUUCUUCCCUUAGCACAGCUUUUGAGCGGCUAGUAUAUUCGUCGUUGUGGAUCGAAGCAUGUGAUUCAGAAACGGAGAAAAAAACUGAAAAAAGAAGGAGAUACGAUGAUCAGAGCAAGGCGUCUUUUGUACGAAGGUUGUGUACAUAUACUCCCUCCGUCCCAAAAUAAAUAUCGUUGAUUUAAUAUAAAUGUGCACUAAAAUCUAUACCUAUACUAAUUCUUGACUUCCUGUAAAUUCCCACGUUAAUCAGAUUUUACGAGCCGUUAAUUUCAUGGGACCAAAUUAUAACGGUGGAGAUCAUACCAGUAUUAAUUUUACUCAAUUCAGUCACGCAAUAGUUUAAAAGACCUACAAUGUUUGAUCUACUGUAUAAAAUUAGAAACCAUAAUAGAUACGAUCCUAACAGUUACUAAAAAAAGUUCGAUCCUAACAGAAAAUAUAAUCACAUGAGUACUUGAGGAGAUGUGCCUCGACCUGUUCAUUGCCUGUUCUCCCACGCAGUUCUCCCAGAAAUACGUUUCCUUUUCCUAUUAAUGCUUCCUUCCAAGCGCACGGCUCCUUUUCCUUUCCCAAAAAACUCUGUCGUCCCCCAUCAAUCCCAUAGGCUGGACGUCCAUCCCUCCAGAGGUUGAUCGAUCCUCUCGCAACUACCCAGGUCUCUACGAGAGGUUGAUCGAUCCUCUCCAACUGUCGCUCUUCCUCACCCUCCAUGGAUCAAUCUUGACGCGCCUAUCCUUCGGCUAGCUGAACUGCCUGACGAUCGCUGAUGGCUUGAUGCUACCGACUACGUGUGGCUAUGCCGAACAGUGUUGGAACCAGACAAGGCUAUUGAGCAAAACUUCAAAAGAAUGGAGGAGGACAGGUCACAGCGCUGUUUACCUGCUUAACACCAUUCGAUUUUGUGGGCGGUAACCUUACCAACAGGUUAUUGAAAAAAAAUCAUGCCCGAGAGUAGUGCGUGGGAGUGGAGGCGCUAACUCCACCCUACUGGAAUCGAUCUAUGAGAUACUAUAAAUCGAACAUCUAUUUCAGGCCAACUGAUAAACUGCGUGAUGAUGGUUGAUGGUUUGAUGCAGCCAUGGAGGUGUGGGUGUAUCGAAGACUGUUGGAACCAGAUUGGAUGGUCAUCGCCAUUGACAAGGCUGCUGAGCAAAAAAACUGUGCAGGAUUGGCUAUGGCGCUGUUUAUCUACUUAACACCAUUCGGUUUUGUGGGUGCUAACCUUACCAGCAGGUUAUUGAUUUAUUUUUCAUGCCCAACAGUGGCGCAUGGUAAUGGAGCCGCUAGCUCCUCCCUACUCUGCUCCUGCAGCUUGCCUUCAAGCGGUGUCUCGUUGUCAAGCUACUUAAACAGAUGACAUAGACAUGCCAUUCUCCAUGUCGAUGAGCCGUAUACCUAGACCCAAAGGGAAUCUCAGGUUUGGUCUUAUAUACACAAUAGGGCGUCUUAGAUGAUUAUGAAUGGAUGGAAUUAGUGGAUGCAAAUAUGAUGGUUGGAUGCUUGCUUUGUACCUAUGAUACCCGUGAAUGGGCUGAGCAUAUGGAACUAAAAAUUAAGCAUAAGGUUUCCAAAUUAAUUUUCUUAAAACAUCUAUACAUUAGCACGUCGUGCCAAUUUUUUUUACAUAUUAGUCUACUAAGAACCGAGUACCAACUUGCUAGGUGUCAAGUGUCCCUCAGUUCAUCGAGCUCCCAUGAAGGCCUCCUUCCAGGUCAUGGCUACUCUGGCUUUUUCUACCAAUCUAUUGUAAUCAGAGCUGAUUAAUAUUUUUGUUACUAAUCCUUUGUACAUACCUAUAUACAAAGCCUAAGUUCAAAUCAACAGAAUCAGAAUAGAUCAUUGUCAUGUUCUAUCCAUUGACUCGCAGAAUUUGAUUACCUUUCCUAGCUGUGAAGUGAUUAAAUGCAUAAUGUUAUUACCCUAUCAGAAUAUUCAUUUCCCAAGAUAAGCCGACUAUUAACAGUUUUAGUAGUUAGAAAUAUAUAUUUUACUUAAUUAAAAUUGUUGCAGGAUACAAAGGUGUGUGGUUUUGAAGAAGGCACCAUGGCAGAAAUCAUGUGGUAAAGGUUAACACGGCUUCCUGUUUCUUUAUUUAUCAAUAACAAAACUUCCUCGCAAGUGUUCUAUUGGAGGUUAUUUUUUUAAUAAUAUAUAGAUGACAUACAUAUUUGAAUUCAUCUUUUUCGUUGCACGACACCAUCACAUGUGGUUUUUUAAAAAUCAUGAUGUUAAGAAGCUUAGGCAGAGGUCCAAAAAUGACAGUGCAUGUGAGUACAAAUAUUAAGAUUUUCUUUGCAACGAACUUCACAUAUGUUGAAGGUGAAAGCAUCCUAAGUCUGUUGCUAGGACCAGUUUUUUCGAGGACCUUCGUUCUUCCCAUAAUGUGUACAUGGUAACUUUAGGAAUUUAUGUUGGAAAGGACAAAGAAAUAGGCAUCUCAUGGAAUUAUCAAUAUUUGAGAUUGUACCGUUGUGUUAGCUAUUUAUGUACGACAGAACAAAGAAAUGCAUGCAAGUCUUUGCAUUAUAAAGACUCGACACUGCGAAUUGGGUACGUCCUAACACAGUUUGAUGCAUACGACUAAUGGUUGUAAAGAACCUUUAAUGUUGCCAU